rnacentral:rRNA from 1 species
GUCCGGCCUAACGAUGAACACUUGGCGUGACGGUCUCAACCCUGUCGUGCCGGAGCUAACGCGUUAAGUGUUCCGCCUGGGAGUACGGUCGCAAGGCUGAAACUCAAGGAAUUGACGGGCCCGCACAAGCGGUGGAGCAUGUGGUUCAAUUCGACGCAACGCGAAGAACCUUACCUGGGCUCGAAGCGCAGUGGAAUCCGGAUGAAAGUCCGGCGCCCGCAAGGGCCGCUGCGGAGGUGCUGCAUGGCUGUCGU